rnacentral:rRNA from 1 species
UACGAGGGGUGCAAGCGUUGCUCGGAAUUAUUGGGCGUAAAGGGUAGGUAGGUGGUCUCAUUUGUCCGGGGUGAAAGCCUUGAGCUUAACUCAAGAAGUGCCUCGGAAACGGUGAGACUCGAGUAUUGGAGAGGCUAGCGGAAUUCCCGGUGUAGCGGUGAAAUGCGUAGAGAUCGGGAGGAACACCAGAGGCGAAGGCGGCUAGCUGGACAAUUACUGACACUCAACUACGAAAGCGUGGGUAGCAAACAGG